GACGAACGCUGGCGGCGUGCUUAACACAUGCAAGUCGAACGGUAAGGCUCCAGCUUGCUGGGGUACACGAGUGGCGAACGGGUGAGUAACACGUGGGUGACCUGCCCUGCACUUCGGGAUAAGCCUGGGAAACUGGGUCUAAUACCGGAUAGGACCGCACCGUGAGGGUGUGGUGGAAAGUUUUUUCGGUGUGGGAUGGGCCCGCGGCCUAUCAGCUUGUUGGUGGGGUAAUGGCCUACCAAGGCGGCGACGGGUAGCCGGCCUGAGGGGGUGGACGGCCACCUGGGGACGGAGAACCGCCCCAGGCCCUCACGGGGGGGAGGGGGGGGGAAUAUUGCAAAAGGGGGGGAAGCCUGAGGGAGCGACCCCGGGGGGGGGAGGGCGGCCUUGGGGUUGUAACCCCCUUUCCCCAUCGACGAAGGUUUUCUGACGGUAGGGGGAGAAGAAGCCCCGGCUAACUACGU
rnacentral:rRNA from 1 species